ensembl:lncRNA
CACAAGCAAAGGAAGGUUUAGGGUUAUAUUCUUAAAUUGCAUAAUUCACCUAUUUUUUUUUCCUCAUUUUUUACAGAUAUACAAUGGGAAAUGUUAUGAUUUGCUUGUCAACAACCCAGUGGUGACCAGACGAAAACGUCACUGCGAGUGGAAUGUGAGCAUCUUUUGCAGGCCUCAGUAUCAGCUGGUUCUAUUUAUGGAUGAAGAGCAAGCUAAAAGACCAUUAUGGAGCAUUUUACACAGCUUUGAAAGGCCAGACCAAAUAUGCAACAUGAAGAUGCUUCCAGCGAUGCACACAACCCUUCCAAUGAUCCUUUCACCAUGUAAAUCAUUUCAGCUUGCCUAUCCAAUGCCAAAAGGUUUAUACCUAUUUUGCGGUUCAGAGGGACACCUCCUUCCGUCGUGUCCAGUCAGACCUCCAUGCCCAGCGGUGAGUACUAUCCAUACACCACCUUCGAUAUCUUUGCUUGCCUGUUCAGAUGUUAUUCUAAUGACUUCCCAUCAAUCUAUUUCAGCAAAAGCCCUCAUAGACUCCAGAUAGAGGAUGACGAGUGGAAGACAGAUUUGUAACACCAUCAGGCCACUACAGAUAUCUCAUUAUGCCAUACAGACUGUCCAACUCACCCACAGUCUUCCAGGGAUUUAUAUAUGAGGUGUUCCGGGAAUUCCUUCAUUGUUUCUUUAUGAUGAUAUCCUCAUCUAUUCCCGGAACCAGGCCAAAUAUCUCCAAAAUGUGACGCAGAACAUUUGAGAAUCCAGAAACUUUGAGAAUUCUGCUUAUACCUCAAACUUGAGAAAUGCGAGUUCCUCCGUGACCAUUGUCCAUUUCCAUUUCCAUGUCAUCAACCAACACAGGAUCCACAUGGACCAGAAGAAGGUACAGGCAGCUGAGAAUUCGCCACAACCCACAACCAUGAUGGAACUACAAUGCUUCUUGGGGUUUAAAUUUUUUUACAGGAGGUUCAACAGCAACUUCAAUAACAUCUGCUCACCUCUAACCUCCUUGCUGAAACAUGGGGCCAAGUCUCUGUUCUGGAACACUGAAGCAUCCAACACCUUCAACCAUCUCAAGAAAGCCUUAUGUGUUGCUCCUAUUGAAAUGCAUCCCAAUCCAGAACUGCAUAGGAGCCAUAUUGUCUCAGCGCCAGGGUGAGCCUUCCAAACUCCAUUCAUGUGCCUUUUAAUCUAAACUAUGACAUCGGUAACCACAAACUGCUGGCCAUCAAACUUGCCUUAGAAGAGUGGCGCCAUGGGAGCUAAACAUAUCCAUGUUUCUCGCCACUUACCUGAGGGAAAUCUGGUUCCCCUUCCUGUAUCUAACAGGCCAUUGUCACAUAUUGGAAUUGAUUUCAUCAAAGACGCGCCUUCUUCGGAUUCUCGCAAAUGCAUCCUGGUCAUUGUAGACUGCUUCUCAUAAGCGUGUAAGUUGAUUCCUUUGAAUGGACUAUCCACUAUCUUUGAAACUGCCGAGACCCUCUUCCAACAAGUCUUUUGUUAUUUUGGGAUCCCUGAAGAUAUUGCCUCUGACCACGGACCUCAAUUCAUUUUCAGAGUGUGGAACACCUUCAAGUUACUCUGAGUCACAGUCAGCUUAACAUCAGGAUAUCAUCUGCUGUCUAACAGCCAGACUGAGUGUAAGAUACAAGAAAUCUGGAGAUAUCUGCGGCCAUAUUUUCCAUGAACAUCAAGACAGCUGGAGCUGCUACUGUCCAUGGGCCGAGUAUGCACAGAACUCUCUGAGUCAAGCCACCACCAGGUUAACAACCUUACAGUGCAUACUCUGCUAAUUACUGCCUCUGUUUGAGCCUUCUGACAUUCCAGCUUUCCACCAUUAGUUCAAGGAGAGCGAGAGGGUUUGGGACUCAGCUCACAUCCACCUGCAGAUUGCAGUUCGAAGAUACAAGAGCCAGGCUGAUGAUAGAAGAUCAGCGACACCCCAGUAUCAUCCAGGGCAGAUGGUGGCUCUCAACCAGGGACACCCGCCUUCGACUGCCCUGUCGCAAGCUGAGUCCCUGCUAUGUUGGUCAAUUCACAUUCCAGAGGUAGAUAAACGAAGUCACAUACAGGCUAAACCUUCCUCCUCAGUACAGAAUUUCACCUUCUUUUCAUGUAUCCCUGUUGUUAUACCAUAACUAUAUACUGAUCCUCUGCUUUCUUCCUCUCCAGGGUGUGCCUCUUCCUCCAAUGGAUCCUUCGGAGGAGAACAUCUACAGAGUCAACACCAACCUAGACUUCCGAUGACAGGGUGGUCGCCUAGAGUACCUCGUAGACUGGGAGGGGUUUGGCCCAGAGGAAAGAUCUUGGGUUCCCAAUGAUGACAUACUAGACCCAUCUCUGCUCCUUGAAUUCCACACGAAUCACCCCGAUAGUCCAGCAUUGAGAGGCAGAGGCCACCGCUGUCGCCCCUUUUCUCCAUUCAGUAUCCAUCUGCAUCCAACUUCCAGAUCCAGCUUACCAACACCAGUUCAUCAAAACCCACAAUGAUAAGACUGUUAUUCAAUGAACUAUCUCAGAAUUGCUCUGUUGAUCAAUCACUUACCUGCUAUGUACGUGUAUCUGUCAAAACCUGCAAUAAACCUGUUGUUUGGAUUAGCUUGUUGCA